AGAUAGUGGCGCACGGGUGAGUAACGCGUAAGAAUCAACCCUGAGGAGGGGGAUAACAGUUGGAAACGACUGCUAAUACCCCAUAUGCUGAGGAGUGAAACGACUUCGGUCGGCCUUGGGACGAGCUUGCGUCUGAUUAGCUAGUUGGUGGGGUAAUUGCCCACCAAGGCGACGAUCAGUAACUGGUCUGAGAGGAUGAUCAGUCACACUGGAACUGAGACACGGUCCAGACUCCUACGGGAGGCAGCAGUGAGGAAUAUUCCGCAAUGGGCGAAAGCCUGACGGAGCAAUGCCGCGUGAAGGAUGAAGGCCUGUGGGUCGUAAACUUCUUUUCUCAGAGAAGAUUUAAGACGGUAUCUGAGGAAUAAGCAUCGGCUAACUCCGUGCCAGCAGCCGCGGUAAUACGGAGGAUGCAAGCGUUAUCCGGAAUGAUUGGGCGUAAAGCGUCUGUAGGUGGCCUAUUAAGUCCGCUGUCAAAUCCCAGGGCUCAACCUUGGACCGGCAGUAGAUACUAAUAGGCUUGAGUUGGGUAGAGGCUGAGGGAAUUCCCAGUGUAGCGGUGAAAUGCGUAGAUAUUGGGAAGAACACCAAGGGCGAAAGCACUCAGCUGGGCCUUGACUGACACUCAGAGACGAAAGCUAGGGUAGCGAACGGGAUUAGAUACCCCGGUAGUCCUAGCCGUAAACGAUGGAUACUAAUUACUGGGUCUCUUUCGAGAUACAGUGAUGUAGCUAACGCGUUAAGUAUCCCGCCUGGGGAGUAUGCUCGCAAGGGUGAAACUCAAAGGAAUUGACGGGGGCCC
rnacentral:rRNA from 1 species